UUGUAUUAAAAAAUUACCUCCUACAGGAAUCUUGAAACGGAAAAGAAAAACAAAAGGAAUCAAAUAAAUAAAAUUAACUUUUUAAGGGAAACUUGAAUUUCAGAAAUUAAGAAAAGUCCAUAAAAAUCCAAUUCAUACUUCACUGAAUGAAAAAAAUUACAUCCUUGAGAUUUGGAGGGGAAAUGCAGAUUCAUGAAUUUCACACCUUAAAGGGACUAGCUGG
rnacentral:misc_RNA from 1 species